ACCAAUACACCUGGCAGUUGCCUGGGUGAGGUCUCAGUUUCCAUCUUCUUGGGAUUUCCUUCACAGGGCAACUGCCAGAGCAGAAAAUAUGAGGAAUACACAGACACUGAGACAUUCAACUCCCCACAGAAAUGACUGGUGAUCAGAAAAGCUGUCAAAUCUUACUCUGCUUGAGUCUCGCUGUCCUUUGCAGCACAGCCGCCUCUCCCUCCUGCGUGUCUUCCUCUCUCUCCCUCCAUCGCCUGACCUGCUCUUCCCUCAUCUUGUAGAAGAGGACAUGCUUCUGUUCUUCAUUCAGUUCGGCCAGUAGCUCCGGGUCGAUGUACAUAUCCCUCAAAAUUUGCUGCAGCAUGGCAAUCCGGUCAAGAAAGCAACGCGUGUGCAGUGGCCAGGUGGAAAAGACAAAAUUCAAAACCGAAGGAAAAAUACCCUGUCCAGUCCAGCCAACUUAACGCCUUUAGCACUUCCUCAAAAACAACUUGAAAUGAAAGUGCUGGCCCUUCCUGAGAGGGAUUGGGUUCUCUUUCAUGCUCCGAUCGCUUUCCGUUAAUCGCCACAAUAAUAAUAGCUUGUGUCACCUAUCAACAGGUGUCCAAUGGGGGGGAGGGAGAGAUGGAACAGGAGAUUGGCAGGGCGAAGGCGUACAAACAAGGAUGAGCCACUUGGAUGGUAUUAAAAGGCUCCCAAAAAGGGGAAAGAGGAUAACUCCUGACAGCUGCUACUUAAAUACCUGGAAACAAAAAGAUAACUAUUUUUUGGAUCAUCAGAAUGUAAGAGUCCUGCUGGAUUAGAGCAAAAGGUCAAGCAGGAUGCUAAGGGAAGGCAGUCUCUCUGGAACAUCAAGAGAACCAUUAAUUCAAAAGGCUACAUGACCUUAACAUUAGCUUUCUGACUUCAGAUCUUCAUCGGCUGAGAGUCACAUCCUUGGCCAACUUGUAUCAGAUUCCUCUAUGCCUGUCUUAGGUGGAGUGACACCUUAACCGCAUCGUAGCAUUUAGACUGGAACAAUUCCAGUGCCUCUAAGGAAGGUAUCGUCAUACUCAAGAGAACCGAGUAGUAUAAAAAAAAGCUUUUCAAAAUAAAACCUAAAAGAACCAUUAAAAAACAGCCUGAUGAA